GACCACCACCCUCUCAUAUGUUGGGUAUGCAACUACUCCACUGUUGCCGGGAAGAUACAGUCUGGCACUGUCGACUCUACUGGGGAUAUAUAGUCUGGAUACUGUCAACUCUACUAGGGAUAUACAGUCUGGAUACUGUCAACUCUACUAGGGAACCUGCUCUGCAGAGGAUAGACUUUGUCAACCGCUUGGGGAUGAGGAUUCAUGACUUGGCACCCGGCUCAUGUGACCUGUAACCAAAAAAUACACGUAUGCCCCAGGGAAUUAC
rnacentral:lncRNA from 1 species